rnacentral:tRNA from 1 species
GCCCAGGUGGUUCAGUCGCUUGAGCGAUCGACUACAGCUCGGGUCAUGCUCUCAUGGCUCGUGGGUUCGAGCCCCACUUCGGGCU